rnacentral:lncRNA from 1 species
UCGAUAAGGCUAUCAAGUGCAAUGUAAUUCGUAGCAAACCGUGUGACUCCUGGUCUAAGAAUUUCUCCCCCUGCAUACUUUCUCAUUAAUGAAAGAACCCAAGUAUGGCUAUAAAUAUACCUGGUGAUGCGUUGGGCUAUCUCCACCGUAUGUUGCACCCUACGGAUCUUUUCAAUGUCCAUCAGGAUGAGGUCGAUGCAAUGUGCAGCACAUGGGGUCCAGAAAAUUUGUGGUCGCUGCUCCAUCAAG